AAUUCUCAACCAUGUCUUGAUCGAUUUCAAGGCCAUGGCUUGGAGUUGGGGGUUGCUGGCGGCGACGAGCUGUCGGCUCUCCUGAAAUGCAUUAGCAAAGGGCAGCAAGUCUUUGACGUGCACGGCCUUCGACGUGAUAAUGAUCGUCGUGGCUGGAGCGUCGGACAUGCAUGAAUAGGUCCUGUGCUUCUAAUCUCUCCCAUGCCUGACGGCGUGUGUUUCGAA
rnacentral:misc_RNA from 1 species